rnacentral:rRNA from 1 species
GAGUUUGAUCGUGGCUCAGAUUGAACGCUGGCGGCAUGCCUUACACAUGCAAGUCGAACGGCAGCAUGAUCUAGCUUGCUAGAUUGAUGGCGAGUGGCGAACGGGUGAGUAAUACAUCGGAACGUGCCCUGUAGUGGGGAUAACUAGUCGAAAGAUUAGCUAAUACCGCAUACGACCUGAGGGUGAAAGUGGGGGACCGCAAGGCCUCAUGCUAUAGGAGCGGCCGAUGUCUGAUUAGCUAGUUGGUGGGGUAAAGGCCCACCAAGGCGACGAUCAGUAGCUGGUCUGAGAGGACGAUCAGCCACACUGGGACUGAGACACGGCCCAGACUCCUACGGGAGGCAGCAGUGGGGAAUUUUGGACAAUGGGCGAAAGCCUGAUCCAGCAAUGCCGCGUGUGUGGAGAAGGCCUUC